CUUAUAAUUAUAGCGCCCGAACUAAGCGAUCGAACGAGACAGAUGCUUAGUUGACGAGGAUGGAGGUUAUCGAAUUUUUCGGCGGAUGCCUCCCGGCUGAUCAAAUAUAGAGAUCACAGCCGUAAGUGUUUCUUUAAAGCAAAGAGGUGACUCUUUGUACAAAGGGAAUACACAUGAUCUC
rnacentral:ncRNA from 2 species